rnacentral:lncRNA from 1 species
GCGCGCGGACCUGCUACCACUCCUGCACCGCCAGGCCAGGGGUCCGCGGGAUCCCAGGGGCUGCGGCCAGGGCACGAGGGAAGGGGCCACCUCUGGGAUUUAGGGGGCACUGGCGUCACCAGCUGGGUCUGGAAAGUCCACCUGCCGUCAAGGACACGCAGGAGGUGCGCCGUCUCAGAUCUGGGAACCUUGGCGGAUGUCCUGCCGCGUGGGGGAAGAUCCUGAACCUUCAGCGGCCAGCCUGCACCUCAGGACCUCCUAGGCCCUGCUCCCUUUCUCUCUCCACUCCUACCUCAGCCUCUGCUCUGGUCUGUCCUGGAUGCAAAUUUAUGCUGCAAAAUCUGAGCGCUGAGCUCAGCCCUGGAUGGCUGCCCUUCCUGGAAACCUUAGGAUACCUCUGCUGGCUCCAGCUGCCCCCUCCCUGUGAGUCAGCUCCUUCAAGCCACAGCCCGCCAGAUGGCUUCCAAGGCACCAAGGAUGCAGCUCCUGACCUGAUGCCUCUCAGCUCCAGGACUUCCCAGGACCCCUCAGCUGCCCUGGACCCUGCUGCUACUGCCGUCACCUCUGCACCUUGUCCCCAGCUGGGCUGCUGACUCAGAUAUGCCAGGCUCCUAUGCUAUCAUUUCAACUCCCAGGCUCAGCUCACUCCAGGAGCCUAGUUGGAGAAUGGAUUUCCCCAGCUGAAGGACGCUUCAGCUAUACCAGUGGAGAAACGGAGGCACAGAGUCCGUGAAUGGUCUAAGGACACAUGCACCCAAAAUUGAGGCCCAGGCAGGGCUCGCCUCUUCCAUGAAGCCUUCCGUGACCACUGUAGAUGGCAGCGAUGCUUCCUUCCUCCAUAUUCUGCCAGGAAAGGAAGAGAAACAGCAAGGAAAAGAAUGAAACAAGAACUGUCCUCUGUGCAUGGGGCUGAGCCCCAUUCCUAUGCUGAUAUGAUCUCUCACUACAGCCUUGCCAGGUAGACAUAGCUGCUCUCGCACAGAUGAGGAAACAGCAUAAAGACGUUAGAUGUUAAGUGACCUGCUGCUCAAAGCCACGGGCCUGGGGUUGGGAGCGGACUCAGCACUUUUGUGCGAGGAUCUAGUGCCUGGUAGAAGGAAAUGUUCCGCAUAUUCUCAGACAAGUCCCUUCCUCUCUCUUUCUCAGUCUUUCCACCUGUAACAUGAGCUCAAUCAGAGGUAAACUGUGCCCUAUAGAUGGUCUAGGGCGAGGGGAAGAUGGACCCCCUGAAAUUGUAUGCGUGUGACAUUGAGGCACAAAGGCCCAAGCCCUUCAUGAUUUGCAAAGAGAUCUCUGACAUUGUCUGUUUUGGAUUGGAGAGGACCAGCUGAGGGAUGUGUUUUGAGAAGCAUGAAUGACCAAAUGAAUUCAAUAAAUACGUAGUGAAUAUCUAAUCUGAC